ACAAGAGUCCCACUGUGACCCCUCCCCCAUCAUUGGAGCAAGGACUGGCUAAGCCUGAGCAAGGGUGGGGGAAAUAAAUAAGGCACUGUUGCCAGGGCCUGAGCCCAGCAGGAAAAGGGUGUGUGCAGAGGGAGGGCCUCGGGUCCUGCUGCUCCUCCUGGACUCCUUCAUCCCAAUCCCUUCACAUCCUUCUCUGACAAGGACUCCCACGUCCCUCCCCGGCUAACCUGGAUCCUGCUCAACCCAACACCUGCCUUCUCUCGGUCCCUGGGUUCCCGCAGGCCUUGGGGCCCCACAGUCAUAUCUGCUGUUCCUGCAGCAGAGAGGUUGUACUGGGUUGAGAGAGAGGCCUCAGAAUCAAGACCUUGUCUCCUGCCACAGUUUCCCUGGUGAAGCUCCCAGGCUGAGCACAAACUUCCAGGUCGAGCACAGAAGUUUCGACCUGGAAACUUCAGCCCUCAGAGAGGAGGUGGCACUAACGCUCUAGGUGGGCGGCUGCUCUAUGGUCUUCUGCUGCCUGGAGAGCUUUGCCUCCAUCACUGGUGCCCACCUGGGGAAUGCUCAGGAACUACUCUUCAAAAGUACACUCGGAUGCCCACUCUGCAAAGCCAUUUUGUUUCCUUAUUGUACCUCUGAAAUCAUUUGUUAACCAAGCAUUUGCAAAUCCGUCUGUCUUCUGUGUAUGGCAUAUCUAUAGACACUGCGGGUGAAAAACAAGGGCAAGACUCGAUUCCUUUUCUUGCUUGCUUGCUUGCUUUCUUGCUUUCUUUGCUUUCUUGCUUUCUUUUCUUUUUUCUUCUUUUUCUUUUCUUUUUUUUUUUUUUGGAGACAGUUUUGCUCUUGUUGCCCAGGCUGGAGUGCAAUGGUGCAAUCUUGGCUCACUGCAACCUCCGCCUCCAGGGUUCAAGCAAUUCUCCUGUUUC
rnacentral:lncRNA from 1 species